GUGCAGAGGCAGAUGCAAC
rnacentral:miRNA from 1 species